rnacentral:sRNA from 1 species
AACAAAUUACUGUGUCAGGAAGAGCAUGGCAACAUGAGCAGUGCUGAUCUUCGAGGAUAGUACAGGGCCUUAUUCAUAAGACAACUAAGGCAAGAGGGAGGAAGUAAAAUGUGGAUUGGGCCACCUCUCCUCCAGAGAGAAGACUGGUAUGGGGUUUGAGAUUAUGCAGUGAUUUCAUUUGUUGCCAAGUCAAUAUUAUUAUGGCGUGGAAUGGGUGCUAAAAGCCUUCUCAAAUUAUUAGGAAGUUUGAAGGCAGAACAGAGAUAAUUGGUUCUACAAAUCUUAUAAUUCUGCUAGAGGAUGAAGUCUUUGCCGAUUUUUUCAACACAUUUCUUUCCCUCCCGGUUUUUGGUCAGACACCACUUUAUACUGUUGAAAAUUCACAGUGGAGCUUGUGGCCAGAAAUACCUUGUAACUUGAUUGCCAAAUACAAAGGGUUAUUGACCUGGUUGGAAAAAUACCGAUUACCUUUCUUCUGUAAAACAAACUUGUGUUUCCAUUACAUUCUCUGUCAGGAGUUCAUCAGUUUCAUUAAGUCCCCAG